AGCCUGAUCCAGCCAUGCCGCGUGUGUGAAGAAGGCCCUCGGGUUGUAAAGCACUUUCAGUGAGGAAGAAUGCUUGCGGGCUAAUACCCCGCAGGAAGGACAUCACUCACAGAAGAAGCACCGGCUAACUCCGUGCCAGCAGCCGCGGUAAUACGGAGGGUGCGAGCGUUAAUCGGAAUUACUGGGCGUAAAGCGCGCGUAGGCGGCUUGAUAAGCCGGUUGUGAAAGCCCCGGGCUCAACCUGGGAACGGCAUCCGGAACUGUCAGGCUAGAGUGCAGGAGAGGAAGGUAGAAUUCCCGGUGUAGCGGUGAAAUGCGUAGAGAUCGGGAGGAAUACCAGUGGCGAAGGCGGCCUUCUGGACUGACACUGACGCUGAGGUGCGAAAGCGUGGGUAGCAAACAGGAUUAGAUACCCUGGUAGUCCACGCCGUAAACGAUGUCGACUAGCCGUUGGGGUCCUUGAGACCUUUGUGGCGCAGUUAACGCGAUAAGUCGACCGCCUGGG
rnacentral:rRNA from 1 species